GAUGAAGAACGUAGCGAAAUGCGAUAAGUAAUGUGAAUUGCAGAAUUCAGUGAAUCAUCGAGUCUUUGAACGCACAUUGCGCCCCCUGGUAUUCCGGGGGGCAUGCCUGUCCGAGCGUCAUUGCCGCCCUCAAGCACGGCUUGUGUGUUGGGCCCCCGCCCCCCGGCUUCGGGGGGCGGGCCCGAAAGGCAGCGGCGGCACCGCGUCCGGUCCUCGAGCGUAUGGGGCUUCGUCACCCGCUCUGUAGGCCCGGCCGGCGCCCGCCGGCGACCCCAAUCAAUCUUUCCAGGUUGACCUCGGAUCAGGUAGGGAUACCCGCUGAACUUAAGCAUAUCAAUAAUCGGAGGA
rnacentral:misc_RNA from 1 species